GUCACGUGCCAUGGGGUCAGUAUGGGGUCAGUAUGGGAUGUGUAUGGGGUGCUGGGGUCAGUGUGGGGUGGUUAUGGGGCGGUUAUGGGGUGGUUAUGGGGCAGUGCAGAACAUGGCCGUGGGCAAGCAGAACCUCGAGGUCAUGAUCAGCAACUCCAACCGCUCCCAGCAGGACUUCGGUACGGGGGGCGGGGGGUCAGAGGUCACAGGUCGGGGGUCAGGGGGUCACGGAGUCAACGGUUGGGGCAGUGAGGGGUGAUGGGGUUGGGUUGAGGUGAUGGAGUGAGAAGAGGGGAAAGAGAAUAUGGAAGGGAUGAUGUGGGGCUGCAAUGGGUCCCUGGAGGGCCUUGGAGGGGGGUCAGAGGUCAGAGGUCACGUGCCAUGGGGUCAGUAUGGGGUCUUAGGGUCAGUAUGGGGUCGGUAUGGGGUCAUUGUGGGGUGAUGGGGUUGGAGAGAGGUGAUGGAGUGAGAAGAGGGGAAAGAGAAUAUGGAAGGGAUGAUGUGGGGCUGCAAUGGGUCCCUGGAGGGCCUUGGAGGGGGGUCAGAGGUCAGAGGUCACGUGCCAUGGGGUCAGUAUGGGGUCAGUAUGGGGUCUUAGGAUCGGUAUGGGGUCGGUAUGGGGUCAGUGUGGGGUGGUAUGGGGUCAGUAUGGGGUGAUGGGGUUGGAGUGAGCGGAGGGGAAACAGUGAGUGGAAGGGAUGAUGUGGGGCUGCAAUGGGUCCCUGGAGAGCCU
ensembl:lncRNA